GUAGUCUCGCACAGAUGCAUAUCAAUAAGCGGAGGAAAAGAAACUAACAAGGAUUCCCCUAGUAACGGCGAGUGAAGCGGGAAGAGCUCAAAUUUGAAAUCUUAAAGGGUUUCCCUUUACGAAUUGUAGUUUAAAGAAGUGUUUUCUGUUGAGGUUUUGGUAAAAGUUCUUUGGAAUAGGACAUCAUAGAGGGUGAGAAUCCCGUAUUUGACCUUUACUUUCAACUUUGUGAUACACUUUCAAAGAGUCGGAUUGUUUGGGAAUGCAGUCCAAAAUGGGUGGUAAAUUUCAUCUAAAGCUAAAUAUUGGCGAGAGACCGAUAGCGAACAAGUACCGUGAGGGAAAGAUGAAAAGAACUUUGAAAAGAGAGUUAAACAGUACGUGAAAUUGUCAAAAGGGAAGCGUUUGACACCAGUGUUGUUUUUCUGAAAAUCAAUUAAAGAACUGUUUAUGCUAAGCUUGUUUAGACUUUAUCAGCUAAUCUGUUUAGUUUUGAGCUUUUCUUUAAUGCACUUUUCAGUUAACAAGUCAACAUCAAUUUCUUUUGCUGUAAAAAAGCUUGAGGAAGGUGGCUUGAGAUUCGUCUUAAGUGUUUAUAGCCUCUUGCCUAUGCAGUCGGAGAGAUUGAGGUCUGCAGCGUAGAUCCUUCGGGGCUAAAUGCAUUUGUGCUAAGUUAUAGCAUUUUAUAGACAACUUGUUGACUAUGAUUUGUCUUGUAGCUUACUCGCUUAUGUUAUUUUACCUACGCUUAGGAUGUUGAACUCUAUCACACACAG
rnacentral:rRNA from 1 species